CCUACGGGCGGCAGCAGUGGGGAAUAUUGGACAAUGGGGGGAACCCUGAUCCAGCCAUGCCGCGUGUGUGAAGAAGGCCCUCGGGUUGUAAAGCACUUUCAGUGAGGAAGAACGCCUGGUGGUUAAUACCCAUCAGGAAAGACAUCACUCACAGAAGAAGCACCGGCUAACUCCGUGCCAGCAGCCGCGGUAAUACGGAGGGUGCGAGCGUUAAUCGGAAUUACUGGGCGUAAAGCGCGCGUAGGUGGCUUGAUAAGCCGGUUGUGAAAGCCCCGGGCUCAACCUGGGAACGGCAUCCGGAACUGUCAAGCUAGGGUGCAGGAGAGGAAGGUAGAAUUCCCGGUGUAGCGGUGAAAUGCGUAGAGAUCGGGAGGAAUACCAGUGGCGAAGGCGGCCUUCUGGACUGACACUGACACUGAGGUGCGAAAGCGUGGGUAGCAAACAGGAUUAGAUACCCUAGUAGUC
rnacentral:rRNA from 1 species